ACCCGGGUGGCUCAGUCGGUUGGGCAUCUGACUUCAGCUCAGGUCACGAUUUCGCGGUCCGCGAGUUCGAGCCCCGCAUCGGGCC
rnacentral:tRNA from 1 species